ACUUAUCGACCAAAUUUGUUUUAUAAAAUUGAUUUUGUUUGUCGAAACGAUUUUUUAAUUUGACUUAUAAUUUCACUAGGCAAUUCACAAUCCAAAAAUGCCUCUCUUAUAUCUUCUCGGAUAAAACUUAAAAUUCGAGCACGUAACAUUUUCAAUUUUUUUUAAUGUUAGCACUUACAUUAUCUUCAGAAGUUAUUUCCAGUAAAUCAGAAAGAUUACAGCCAUCACACCAAAGCUUGACUUCAUCCAGCCAAUAUUUAAAAUUUGUUCCAUCAAACUUUUUAAUACCGGUAAUUGACAACGUAUUUAACAAUUGUAGCUGAUCCAUAUUGGAAUUCACAAAAGAAAAGAAAAAAUCAAAACCACCGCUUGCUACCAUGUAGAAAAUAAGAAUGAACUUUAUUUGAAUAUAAUAGUAUUUUUUAUAUACAGUGGCUAUGUGCCACAAAAAAAAGGACGUAUGCUUAGCCAAUAUCAUUUAACAAAUUUCGUCAUCAAUUGUACCAUUCAGGAAAGCAGUGCACACAUCAAAUUGACAAAUCUUAUAAUUCAAUCUUGCAGCGAUCGAAAGCGUCAAUCUAAUUGUUUCAAUCGACACCACCGGACUGUACGUCUCAAAAUAAUCUUCAUUCUUACGUUGACUGAAGCCACGAGCUACCAAUCGUGCUUUAUAUCGACCAUCGUUUUUGAUUCGAAAAAUCCAUUUGACAGUAACAAUAUUCUUAUCAACUUGUCGUGGAACAAACUUCCACGUUUACAAAACAUUUGGUAAAAAGGAUGAAUUUUUAAUAGUUUAUUAUUUUAGUGAGAUACAUCGACAAAUUAAUCAAAAAGCCAAUUGAAUUUUUAGAAUUUCUAAUUUUUGUUCGAUUUCGUAGCGCUGACGUGCAUGACCUCUGGUUUCAACACUUGCGCAGUAGUUUCUAAACAAACCCUAGAAAAACGCAAGCAAUGCUCAUCAUCAAGAAAAGAAAAAAAAGAAAAACAAGAGAAAUAGAUAUCCAGAUGGAAGGUACCAAAAUCAAAAUAGUGAAACACAUGAACCACCUUUCUCAAAUAACAUUCCAACUUUCGGGUCGAAUCCACCCCACUCCACCAACGGUGGGUCAAGAACUUGGUUGGAAACAAUCAUAACAAAAUUCGAAUCUAUUGAAUCCAAAUAGUGUAAAUACACCGACAAACAUCGUUGUGUGAUUGUUAUGAGCAUGCUUCGAUCGAAUUCUAAAUUCGAACAAUUGGCUGAUCCGUAUAAUGAUGAAUCAAAAUGGCACAAUGAACGACAUUAUGAAUGAGUUUAUUGAAUAUGAUGAGAAAGUUAAAUCUCAAUCAAUUUCAUCUAAUUUCGGCUCAAAUGAAAAAUCUGAAAAAGCUAAAUCAGCCAAAGAAAAGAAAAAAUUUAAAAAUGGUUUCAAAUGUUCAUUUUGUCAUAAAAUUGGACGUAAAGUUGAAGAUUGUUGGGAAAACAAAAAACAAAAAUCAACCGUGAUGCUGAAUUAGACAAAUUCGGAUAUUUUGAAAAGAUAAUCGAUCAGAUAAAAUGGAACAACACCGUUAAUCUAAAUAAAGUCCUUCGUUACGAAUUUGAUUGUGAUAAAGAUGAAUUCAUGUUAAUUGAUAAAUGUCAAUAUCUUGGAAAUAAUGAAAUAUUUUUGGAGCUUAAAAAAUCAUCAGUUUCUAAAAAUUUGGUUACAUUAAAUUUGGUCCGUUUGUUAAAAUAUUGUUAAAAAAUAACGAUAUCUAUGAAUGUAUGUUGAAAAACAGCAUGUUUCGAAUUUUUGAUGAUUUGGUGUAUAAAAAAAUGUAAUUAAUUUAUUUUUUCAUGAUUUAUAAAUAAAAAAUACAUUUUUUAACACAAACGUAAUUUCAUUAUCUCUCAUCCUCAACAUACAUUAUUUGACAAGAACCCAUCACCGGGCAAAAAGUUAGAUAAGAAAAUUUUGUUUCUAAAUAUCCGUUCAACAACUAUUUCCCCGAUCAAAUUUUCUUUGUCUUCCUCUUUCACCACCACCACGUUGUCAACUACUACCACUACCACCUCAACAACCACAACUACUCGUAAACCGAAUAUGACAACGAAAUUGUCUAAAAUAAAAAUGGAAUUUUCAAGAUGAUAAAAUUAUAGAUGAAAAAAAAUAUAAAGCCUAAAUGUGGAAAAUCCGAAAAUGUGGAUAUCCGAGGAGGAACCAUCUCAGAAUUUAAACAUUUCUGAAAUUCAAGAAAUCGAAAUCCAAGAAAAUUUAUGUUUGGAGUCAAAAGUGAGUUCCCAUUCCCUUUAUUCUUUCUUGAUUCUUUCCUUUUUUCGCCUGUUUUUCCGUCUUAAAGUGGGGGGAUGUAAUAUCCAAUGUCCUCUCAUGAUCUUUUGUCCAAAUUUUUAAUUGUAAAAUCAUUUACUUCAAUUUCAAUUGAUAAAAGUUGAUCGUUAAUACUCAAUCAGCUUAGAUAAUUUCCAAUACUAACGUCUGUCAAUUUCACUGGCCAUAAUAUCAAUCACACGAUUGAUUAAAUUUGCUGAAACUUUCGACCAUUGCAGUAGGAACAAUUAAUAGUAGAUUCAUGCUAAAAAAUUGUUCUUAUCUUACAUAUAUAUAAAAAUAUUUUUCUCUAGCCUCUAUAGAGAGGAAUUGGAAAAAUUAUCAAACAAAAAAUAUAAAAGUCCAUUGGGUAUAAAAAAAAUCAUGUUUGGAUGGGAUUGGCGUAAACAUAUUCCAAGUUUCACCACCCGAUCUUUUUCACGACAUCGUGGAAGGAUUUGGGCCAAAAAUUGCUCAAAUAAUGCUAAAAUCGGCAUCAAUGUCGAGUACUCAAAUUGAAAAAAUUAUCAAGCAAAUUAAGUGGAUAAAUGGUCCAUUAAAAAUCAAAGAUGAUUUUUCUUUAAAAGGAAAAGGAGCUCAAAAAUUUGAAUUCAUUAACCGAAUGGUGGAAAUUUUUAAGAUUAAUCACACCGGUCAUAAAUGUGUUUAAUGGUGAUAAUUUCUACCGUUCAUUCUAUUCGAUACCGCAAUUUACAGAAUGGAGAAAAAAAACAACGAAUUAUAAAACAUACGAAAUCGAAUACUUGAAAGGUUUGGGUGGCUCGUCACCGGAACAAGCAAAAGAUUAUUUUGCAAACAUGGAACACCAACGAAUCGAAUUCAAUUUCGUUCGGAUAGUAAUUCAAAUGCAACCAGUGGUACAGUUACUUUCAUUGACAAAUCACCAAUUAAUUGGUCUUCGAAAAAACAGUCAAGAUUACCACAUUCAAUUUGUGAAGCAGAAUUAACAGCUGCAUUAGAAGGAUGGAAAAAUGCUGAACCAAUCAGACAGCUUCUUCAAGAGUUCGGAAUCAAUACACCUAACAUACUACAUGUUGACAAUA